UACGAAGGGGGCUAGCGUUGUUCGGAUUUACUGGGCGUAAAGAGCGCGCAGGCGGUCGUUCAAGUCGCGUGUGAAAGCCCCCGGCUCAACUGGGGAGGGUCACGCGAUACUGAUCGACUGGAAGGCAGGAGAGGGUAGUGGAAUUCCCGGUGUAGUGGUGAAAUGCGUAGAUAUCGGGAGGAACACCAGUGGCGAAGGCGACUACCUGGCCUGUUCUUGACGCUGAGGCGCGAAAGCUAGGGGAGCAAACGGG
rnacentral:rRNA from 1 species